rnacentral:rRNA from 1 species
UACGUAGGGUGCAGGCGUUAAUCGGAAUUACUGGGCGUAAGGCGUGCGCAGGCGGCUUUGCAAGACAGAUGUGAAAUCCCCGGGCUCAACCUGGGAACUGCAUUUGUGACUGCAUGGCUGGAGUGCGGCAGAGGGGGAUGGAAUUCCGCGUGUAGCAGUGAAAUGCGUAGAUAUGCGGAGGAACACCGAUGGCGAAGGCAAUCCCCUGGGCCUGCACUGACGCUCAUGCACGAAAGCGUGGGGAGCAAACAGG